GAGGUUAAACAUGUUAGCGGGAUCCCAACCCUCCACUUAACCUGGGACAGUGGUGUAACAGUACAACAUAAGAACGAACUAUACAAAUCAGUUGAAAAGGGCUUAACUCAUCAGAUGGAUACAGAUAGAAAUACAUCUAACAAAAACAGAGAGUGGACUUGACCGAGUACUUGUACAUCCCAUCAACAAAAAGACACUAAGUACAGAUCUGAGAGUACUUGCAGUUACUGACAGCUAGUUCAAAGCCAAUUACAACUAAUAAAAAGUAAUGCAUCUGAGACUAAAUUAUCAAUCAUUACACAUCCAGC
rnacentral:lncRNA from 1 species